rnacentral:lncRNA from 1 species
AUUACAACAGCAUUUAGCCACCACAAAUGGAACCUAAAUUGGGGGGGAUAGAGGUUAGGGUAUUACUGCAACAAUUCUUGUGCAAUACGCCUCAGCUUCAUAUGACUCGAAAGAUCACCUAUCUUGCCAAAACAGCUGAUAGGCAAUUGUUCCCUGAUCUUUUCAACCCGGCAAGCUUUCUUCUUUUGCGGGAACAAAGGCUCAUCACUCAAAUAUGGAAUGCCAAUAGAACUGCAGCAAGAAGAAAAAAAUUAUCUGAGUACCCAACAAGUAGAAGCAACUCAAGCACAAUUUUGACUGAGCCAUGGGGUCCUACAAAACUGCACUAGCAAUGCGUAACGCAAACGUCAACAAGCAUAAGGCUAAGUAUUUCAAGAUAUACAUAAAAAGAACGCAACACACCACCACAUUAAAUGCAAGUGAACAUGGCAUCUUUCAGCUUCAUCCACCGUAUAACAGCAUAGUUCUACCUUAAAACCUAUGAAAUUUUGGAAAACAAACCAAAAAGGAAAUAUGGCUCCUUGUCCUAUCAGUAAGAGGGGUAAUCUUUUCCUGAGUAGUCAAGCAAAUUAAG